CCGGCGCCGAGGCGGCCACCCGAGACGCGGCGCGCACUCUCCGGCCUGCGCAGCCCGGCCCGGCCAUGGCGGCCCCCCGCCCGUCUCCCGCGAUCUCCGUUUCGGUCUCGGCUCCGGCUUUUUACGCCCCGCAGAAGAAGUUCGGCCCUGUGGUGGCCCCAAAGCCCAAAGUGAAUCCCUUCCGGCCCGGGGACAGCGAGCCUCCCCCGGCACCCGGGGCCCAGCGCGCACAGAUGGGCCGGGUGGGCGAGAUUCCCCCGCCGCCCCCGGAAGACUUUCCCUUGCCUCCACCUCCCCUUGCUGGGGAUGGCGACGAUGCAGAGGGUGCUCUGGGAGGUGCCUUCCCGCCGCCCCCUCCCCCGAUCGAGGAAUCAUUUCCCCCUGCGCCUCUGGAGGAGGAGAUCUUCCCUUCCCCGCCGCCUCCUCUGGAGGAGGAGGGAGGGCCUGAGGCCCCCAUACCGCCCCCACCACAGGUACGGAGGCCUGGGAGGGGCGGCUGCACUGGACACCCCCAAGGAGAGGAGAAGAGGGCCCUUUCUUCUUACCUCCCCUGCACCUCUGCCUUGGGGGUGGGGGGAUAGAGGCAUGGAAUAGGUGCUCUGACCUCUGACCCUCUAGCCCAGGGAGAAGGUGAGCAGUAUUGAUUUGGAGAUCGACUCUCUGUCCUCACUGCUGGAUGACAUGACCAAGAAUGAUCCUUUCAAAGCCCGGGUGUCAUCUGGAUAUGUGCCCCCACCAGUGGCCACUCCAUUCAGUUCCAAGUCCAGUACCAAGCCUGCAGCCGGGGGCACAGCACCCCUGCCUCCUUGGAAGUCCCCUUCCAGCUCCCAGCCUCUGCCCCAGGUUCCGGCUCCGGCUCAGAGCCAGACACAGUUCCAUGUUCAGCCCCAGCCCCAGCCCAAGCCUCAGGUCCAACUCCAUGUCCAGUCCCAGCCCCAGCCUGUGUCUUUGGCUAACACCCAGCCCCGAGGGCCCCCAGCCUCAUCUCCGGCUCCAGCCCCUAAGUUUUCUCCAGUGACUCCUAAGUUUACUCCUGUGGCUUCCAAGUUCAGUCCUGGAGCCCCAGGUGGAUCUGGGUCACAACCAAAUCAAAAAUUGGGGCACCCCGAAGCUCUUUCCGCUGGCACAGGCUCCCCUCAACCUCCC
rnacentral:sRNA from 1 species